UACAUCGGCCAGUGAAGGAAAUAGAAUACAGCCAGCCCCUCACAGCCGCGCGUGCGGCCGAUGCGGUACCAAUGCGCGACCCCCUCGCCGCCCUCCUUCGCAGCGGCGGCCAUCCUCACUCCGCCCACGGCGUGGCCAUCAAGCUUGGCUGCAUUGCCUCCACUUUUCUCUGCAACAAUCUUCUGCAUGCCUACCUCAGCCGCUCCGUCCCCGCGCAUGCCCGCAGGCUGUUCGACGAAAUGUCCCGCCGCAACCUCGUGUCCUGGUCCGUCGUCAUCUCCGGCUCCGCCCGCCACGGCGUCCUCGCGGAGGCGUUCGCGUUGUUCUCCCACAUGCUUCACGGUGCGGGGCAGGGAAGCUGGGACCGUCCGGACUCGUUCAUGCUAGGGGCCUUGGUCGCCGGGUGCUCCCGCGCCAGACACGUCGACGCUGGCGUGCAGGUGCACGCUUGCGUGGCCAAGUUCGGCGUCGACGAGGAUGAGAGCGUCGCGGCGGCGUUGGUGGACAUGUAUGCCAAGUGCGGGUGGGUGGACUCGUCAUGGCGGGCCUUCACGCUCGCACCGCAGCGGAGCGUCCUGAGUUGGACGAGCAUGAUUGCCUGUCUGGUCAACCAAGGUUCGUCAGGUUACCAUGACGCAGCAAUGCUGCUGUUCAAGAAAAUGCUGGCAUUAAAGGUUUGGCCUACCAAUGUGACGUUUUCUUGCAUCCUGAAGGUGUUCAAUACGCCUGAUUUGCUAUCCGUUGGAAUGCAAAUUCAUGGCUGCUUGCUGAAGAUAGGGACUGAGGUUGACACUGCUUUGGGGAGUGCCUUGAUGACGAUGUAUGGCAGAUGUGGUGGAGUUGAUGAGAUAGCUAGGUUGGCUUGUCGUAUAAGGCAUGAUGUGUUUUCACGGACUUCCCUGCUUGGAGCUUAUGCUCGUAAUGGAUACAAUGCAGAGGCAAUUGGUGUUUUCAAGGAGAUGAUCUUGACAAAUAUGGCAAUUGAUCAGUCAGCUAUGACUUGUCUGCUGCAGGUUUGUUCAUCUGUUGGACAACUGAGAAUGGUUCGGGAGGUACAUUGUUAUGCUUUAAAAACUUUCUUCAAGUUGGAUACUUUACUACUGAAUGCUAUCAUCACUGUUUAUGGCAGAUGUGGUGAUACCACUAGUGCUGAAACUGUAUUUAACCUAAUGGAGGAACAGGACAUCAUAUCAUGGACGGCAUUGUUAACUUGCUACGCUCAGAAUGGUCUUGAUGAAGAGGUACUCUUGUUCUUUAGGGAAAUGCUCCGGAGAGGGUUGGGGUCUCCAGUAUUUUGCAUGACUAGUGUACUACGAGCCUGUUCUAGAACCUCAAAUCUAGCUAUUGGAUUGCAAAUCCAUUCGAGGACUGUGAAGCUAGGUAUUGAUGAUGAUAAUUCUGUAGAGAAUGCACUCGUAACCUUGUAUGCUAAUUGUGGAAGUGUCCAGGUUGCCUUGAAGAUAUUUAACUCAAUGAGUAAUAGAGACAUUGUCACUUGGAAUGCAUUACUCACAAGUUUUUCACAGCAUGGCAAUGAGGUGGCAGCCAUUCAGCUUUUUGAUCUGAUGCAAGAAGAAGAGGUCUGUCCAGAUGAUUACACUUUUGUUGGCCUGCUAUCAUCUUGCAGCCGAAUGGGCCUUGUAAAAGAGGGCUGUGAGUACUUCAAUGAAAUGAAGGCAAAAUACAACUUGGAGCCCAAGAUGGUUCAUUAUACCUGCAUGGUUGAUCUAUUUGCCCGUGCUGGAAGAUUUUGUGAUGCAAUGGACUUCAUUGAUGCAAUGCCUUAUGAACCAGACCAAAUAUUGUGGGAAGCUUUGCUAGCUUCUUGUAAGAUUCACGGAAAUUUGGGGUUAGGAAGAAUAGCAGCUAAGAAAAUUCUGGAAAUUACACCACAUGAUUAUUCAGCAUACAUUACAUUAUCAAGCAUUCAUGCUUCAGUUGACAUGUGGGAUGAGAAAUGCUGGAAUCGCACUGUAUUCGAUACCCAGCAAGCAAGAAAGGAUACUGGAAGGAGUUGGAUUGAUGCACAAGAAUUAUCAGAGAAUAUAUUGGAUACAUUACAAAUUGGAGUGAUGUAAUGUUAGUUGAUAAUGCUUCUUUUCCGAAAGACUAGGGGUCUGCUACUCUCCAUGGUUUCAGUGAAGCGCAGAGCCCUGAAUCAUAAGAAAUCGACAAGCAGAACAAAAGAUAUCCGUGAAUGCAAGCAAACCAUGGUCUCAGUGUCUUGUAUCGAAUAGAACUGACCUAUGUCAGAUCAUCACGGAAGAAAAUAUAUGAUGUGGUGCAGAAGGCAGAUUAUUAUCCUUUCUAUGGUGUGGAACACGGUUGUAAACUUUGAGUGAUUAUGUUUCUUUAAAUUUGUGAUGCUCUACGAUGCUGCCAAUGUUGUAAGCUGUACAUAGGGCGCUGCAGCGCUGCAGUUGGAAAGUAUAUUGAUACUUCUCUAUUGUCAGCCAAACUUUACAUUGAUGUUGGAGAUACAGAGAUAUCUCUUCAGUGGAUACAAACAAAAUCUACACCUAGGUUUAAGUUUUUUAUGUUCACCUGCUGUGGGAGAUAUGCGUGCAUACUCUGUUGCACAUCAAAUGACUCGGUAGAGACAUGGCUUACAUGAGUGAGAGCUGAAAGUGAGGUCAUUGCACAAUGCCAAUAUGACUCUUUGUCAGGAUUCUGUA